rnacentral:rRNA from 1 species
CCAGACUCCUACGGGAGGCAGCAGUGAGGAAUAUUGGUCAAUGGUCGGGAGACUGAACCAGCCAAGCCGCGUGAGGGAUGAAGGUACAGAGUAUCGUAAACCUCUUUUGUCAGGGAACAAAGGCGGGGACGCGUCCCCGGAUGAGUGUACCUGAAGAAAAAGCAUCGGCUAACUCCGUGCCAGCAGCCGCGGUAAUACGGAGGAUGCGAGCGUUAUCCGGAUUUAUUGGGUUUAAAGGGUGCGCAGGCGGCUUGUGAAGUCGGCGCCAAAACCCGGGGGCCCACCCCCGCCCCGCCGUUGAAACUGGCAGUCUCGAGUUGGAGAGAAGUAUGCGGAAUGCGCGGUGUAGCGGUGAAAUGCAUAGAUAUCGCGCAGAACUCCGAUUGCGAAGGCAGCAUGCCGGCUCCACACUGACGCUGAGGCACGAAAGCGUGGGUAUCGAACAGGAUUAGAUACCCCGGUAU